rnacentral:tRNA from 1 species
GCGCCCGUAGCUCAAUUGGAUAGAGCGUCUGACUACGGAUCAGAAGGUUGCAGGUUCAAAUCCUACCGGGCGCG